UACGGAGGAUGCGAGCGUUAUCCGGAUUUAUUGGGUUUAAAGGGUGCGUAGGCGGAGUGCCAAGUCAGCGGUAAAGAUUCGGGGCUCAACCCCGUCGUGCCGUUGAAACUGGCGCCCUUGAGUGGGCGAGAAGUAUGCGGAAUGCGUGGUGUAGCGGUGAAAUGCAUAGAUAUCACGCAGAACCCCGAUUGCGAAGGCAGCAUACCGGCGCCCGACUGACGCUGAAGCACGAAAGCGUGGGUAUCGAACAGG
rnacentral:rRNA from 1 species